UGGCGGGGUAGCUCAGUUGGUUAGAGCAGAGGAAUCAUAAUCCUUGUGUCGGGGGUUCAAAUCCCUCCCUC
rnacentral:tRNA from 1 species